rnacentral:rRNA from 1 species
AACGAACGCUGGCGGCAUGCCUAACACAUGCAAGUCGAACGAAGGCUUCGGCCUUAGUGGCGCACGGGUGCGUAACGCGUGGGAAUCUGCCCUUAGGUUCGGAAUAACAGUUAGAAAUGACUGCUAAUACCGGAUGAUGACGUAAGUCCAAAGAUUUAUCGCCUGAGGAUGAGCCCGCGUAGGAUUAGCUGGUUGGUGUGGUAAAGGCGCACCAAGGCGACGAUCCUUAGCUGGUCUGAGAGGAUGAUCAGCCACACUGGGACUGAGACACGGCCCAAACUCCAAGGGGAGGAGGAGGGGGGAAGUUUUGAAAAAGGGGCGAAAGCCUGAACAACAAUGGCGGCGUGAGGAAAAAAGCCGGAGGGGUGGAAAAGCCUUUUACCCCGUGAGAAAAAUAACAGGGGCGGGAAAAUAAGCCCGGGCAAACUCGGUG